rnacentral:rRNA from 1 species
UACGGAGGGUGCAAGCGUUAUCCGGAAUCACUGGGUUUAAAGGGUGCGUAGGCGGUUGUAUAAGUCAGUGGUGAAAGGCCGUAGCUUAACUAUGGGAUUGCCAUUGAUACUGUAUGACUUGAAUGAGGUUGAGGUUGGCGGAAUGUGGCAUGUAGCGGUGAAAUGCUUAGAUAUGCCAUGGAACAUCGAUUGCGAAGGCAGCUGACUGGACCUGGAUUGACGCUGAGGCACGAAAGCGUGGGGAGCGAACAGG